GAUGAACGCUAGCGACAGGCUUAACACAUGCAAGUCGAGGGGCAGCAUAGAAGUAGCAAUACUUUGGUGGCGACCGGCGCACGGGUGAGUAACGCGUAUGCAACCUACCUAUCAGAGGGGGAUAACCCGGCGAAAGUCGGACUAAUACCGCAUAAAACAGGGGCACCGCAUGGAGAUAUUUGUUAAAGAUUAAUUGCUGAUAGAUGGGCAUGCGUUCCAUUAGGUAGUUGGUGAGGUAAUGGCUCACCAAGCCGACGAUGGAUAGGGGAACUGAGAGGUUGGUCCCCCACACUGGUACUGAGACACGGACCAGACUCCUACGGGAGGCAGCAGUGAGGAAUAUUGGUCAAUGGGCGAGAGCCUGAACCAGCCAAGUCGCGUGAAGGAAGAAGGAUCUAUGGUUCGUAAACUUCUUUUGCAGGGGAAUAAAGUGGAGGACGUGUCCUCUUUUGUAUGUACCCUGAGAAUAAGGAUCGGCUAACUCCGUGCCAGCCGCCGCGGUAAAAC
rnacentral:rRNA from 1 species